rnacentral:rRNA from 1 species
UACAGAGGAGCCAAGCGUUGUCCGGAUUGACUGGGCGUAAAGCGCACGCAGGCGGACGCGCGCGUGGGUGUGAAAUCUGGCCGCUUAACGGCCAGGCGCCAUCCCAUACGGCGCGUCUGGAGUGAUGCAGAGGUCGAUGGAAUUGCCGGUGUAGUGGUGAAAUGCGUAGAGAUCGGCAGGAACACCCAGGGGAAACCAGUCGACUGG